UACAGAGGUCUCAAGCGUUGUUCGGAUUCAUUGGGCGUAAAGAGCGUGUAGGCGGCCAGGUAGGUCGGUUGUGAAAACUGGAGGCUCAACCUUCAGAGGUCGACCGAAACCAUCUGGCUAGAGUCCGGGAGAGGAGAGUGGAAUUCCUGGUGUAGCGGUGGAAUGCGCAGAUAUCAGGAGGAACACCAACGGCGAAAGCAGCUCUCGUGGGACGGUACUGACGCUGAGACGCGAAAGCGUGGGGAGCGAACAGGAUAGAUACCC
rnacentral:rRNA from 1 species